GACGAACGCUGGCGGCGUGCUUAACACAUGCAAGUCGAACGGAAAGGCCUCAGCUUGCUGGGGUACUCGAGUGGCGAACGGGUGAGUAACACGUGGGUGAUCUGCCUUGCACUCUGGGAUAAGCUUGGGAAACUGGGUCUAAUACCGGAUAUGAACUGCCUUUAGUGUGGUGGUUGGAAAGUUUUUUCGGUGCAAGAUGAGCUCGCGGCCUAUCAGCUUGUUGGUGGGGUAAUGGCCUACCAAGGCGUCGCCGGGUAGCCGGCCUGAGAGGGUGUACGGCCACAUUGGGACUGAGAGACGGCCCAGACGCCUACGGGAGGCAGCAGUGGGGAAUAUUGCACAAUGGGCGGAAGCCUGAUGCAGCGACGCCGCGUGGGGGAUGACGGCCUUCGGGUUGUAAACGCCUUUCGACAGGGACGAAGCUUUUUGUGACGGUACCUGUAGAAGAAGCACCGGCUAACUACGUG
rnacentral:rRNA from 1 species